GAUUAAUGGGAAUGUUUUAUGUGCUUUAGGUGUUUGUUAAUGGACAGCUAGUGACCACUAUAGGUGAAGCUGGAAGCUUUGGAGAACUAGCACUUAUAUAUGGCACCCCACGAGCUGCAACUGUAAAGGCAAAAACAAAUGUGAAACUUUGGGCAAUUGAUCGUGACACGUACAGAAGAAUAUUAAUGGGUAGUACAAUUCGAAAGAGAAAAAUGUAUGAAGAAUUUCUCAGUAAAGUAUCUAUUUUGGAGAGUCUAGACAAGUGGGAACGUCUUACGGUGGCCGAUGCUCUAGAACUUGUACAGUUUAACGAUGGAGAGGUGAUUGUGGAGCAGGGUCAACCAGGAGAUGACUUUUUCAUUAUUGAAGAAGGAACAGCUGUUGUUCUGCAGAGACGGUCUGAAAACGAACCACAGGUUGAAGUUGGAAACUUAGGGUCUUCUGAUUAUUUUGGAGAAAUCGCUCUACUCUUAGACCGUCCAAGAGCUGCAACUGUAAAAGCUAAAGGUCCUCUUAAAUGUGUGAAACUCGAUCGAGCCCGGUUUGAACGUGUCCUUGGACCAUGCGCAGACAUACUGAAGAGGAAUAUGGCCCACUAUAACAGUUUAAUUUCUCUGUCUGUGUAAAACCUCUAUAUGUUUGUUUUCUAUUAGAAGAUCUGUUUGGACAAACCAUUUCAAUUAAGACUUUUAAAGUUGGGCUCCUUGAAUUGAAAGAGUUCAGGAAACACCAGUCCAUUUGUUAGAAAGAGCAUCAUGGACCAGGCAGCUUGAUAUGGAAGCUCUGUUUGCAUGCUGCCACAUCUAACAUCUGUAUUGAAACUAAUGUUCUAACCUACACAUUUGUAUAGUUUCUUCCUAGAUUACAUGUUUUCUGCCCAAGGAUGGUAGUAUUAAUGUUGUUAAGUCCUGUUUUACAGUUUCAUAACUGAUGUAUUCAAAAAGACUAACGAAACAUCAGAUUGUAGAUAAAAUUCCUAUGAUUUAAACCCUCAAAACUGCAAGAAAAGAAAAGAAAAAAGCAAGAUAUAUUAUUUCAAAGAGCAAAAGGGGUGAAUGAGAUCGCACAAGAAAAGAGAUUGCAAUUUAAAACAUACUAUAGUAUUUUUUUUGUUUGUUUGAAGUUUGUAUAGGCUCAGGUUUUCAACUUGAAUAUUUUCCAGCUAAUUUGAAGGAAGCUGUAUAUUAUUAUGGUUCUGUAAUCUGAUUGUAUUAGCAAUGUUUAAGUAGAUUAUUAUUAUUAAGUAAGUUAUUUGUUUAUGUGAAAUUUUAGUGUUAGUAAGAAAGCUAUAAUACAUAUUAAAUGUACAUAACACGAUUACCUAAACUGUACUAGAAACAUUAUAAGAAAAACAAUAUAUUAAUGAAUUUGUUUAAUAUAAUAUCCUACUAAAAAUAUAAUGUGAAAAUGUAAAACAUAAUACUUUGUCAAUAUAACAAUAUUUAAUCUUUCUGUGUGUGUUUUAUGUUCAGUUUCUGUUUUUCUUUGUAUGUUAUUUGUAUUUGAUGUUUGAGCUAAUUUCACGUGUUUUAGUAGUUAUGUAAACUGUGUAAUAAUAAACAUUAACAAAAUUAUGUAACUGUAUCUGUAUUAUUAAUUGUAUGUUAGAAGGCACAUUACAAGUCCUUUUAUUGUAUGAACAUUAUUAAAUAUAUUUCCAGUGAAUAGCUGGGCAAUUUUAGGCUUAGAAGAUCCAACACAUUUUGAAAACAAACCAGUAAACUGUGUAAUAAUAAACAUUAACAAAAUUGUGUAACUGUACCUGUAUUGUGAAUUGUAUGUUAGAAGGCACAUUACAAGUCCUUUUAUUGUAUGAACAUUAUUAAAUAUAUUUCCAGUGAAUAGCUGGGCAAUUUUAGGCUUAGAAGAUCCAACACAUUUUGAAAACAAACUAGUUAAGUGGAAAAGGUUUGAAAGAACUUGUUUUAAAAUGAACUUGUAUGUUAAGCCUAUUUAUAACAAAUUUCUCAAAAGCAUUUUAGAGAAAAUGAGUUGUUCCCUUCCAAGAAAUGUUUUUUUUUUUCUGUGUUAUUGUAACAACUGCACAAAGUUUCAUUUUCCCUGAAGUUUAAAACGUUCAAAUUUUGAUGUAGUAAUUACUAAAAGAUCAAAUAUACAAAGUGAAAUAUGGAUGGAUAUGAUGAUUGUUAAAAUAACUGCAAUUUAGGUACUUGUAACGAGAGACUUUACUAGUAAUGGGUUGAGAAAACAAAUUUUACCUUCAAAUUAUUUUGCAUGUCUUAUAUUCUACAUGGGAAAAAUUUACCUUAAGAAUCUGUAAACUUAUUAAAUAUCCAUAUAUCUAUAUAAUAGAGCAAGCGUAACUAUUGUAGUUAUUAAACAGAUAUAAAUUGAAUUUAUUUUUAAUUACUGUGCUACAUUGGAAUUAGUUAAAACUUUACAUUUAAUUUGAACCUGUCAUGGCUGAUUUAUAAAUUCAACUUAAAAGUUGGAAGCCUAUGUGUUCAUAGUAGAUAUUAGCUCAAGAAUUUUUUGGUUCUAGCAGGUUUUAUUGUUAUAUCAAUUUAUGUCAAUAGGUUAAUGAUACAAAUCCAGGCUGCUUUUAUUUUUUUCGAUAUUUGAAAUAAACCUGUUGUGAACCAUU
rnacentral:misc_RNA from 1 species